AUUGAACGCUGGCGGCAGGCUUAACACAUGCAAGUCGAACGAGUGGCGGACGGGUGAGUAAUGCUUGGGCAUCUAGCUUAUGGAGGGGGAUAACUACGGGAAACUGUAGCUAAUACCGCGUACCAUAGGAUGAGCCCAAGUGGGAUUAGGUAGUGGGUGAGGUACAGGCUCACCAAGCCGACGAUCCCUAGCUGGUCUGAGAGGAUGACAGGACACACUGGGACUGAGACACGGCCCAGACUCCUACGGGAGGCAGCAGUGGGGAAUAUUGCGCAAUGGGGGAAACCGGACGAAGCCAUGCCGCGUGAGUGAAGAAGGCCUUCGGGUUGUAAAGUUCUUUCGGUAGAGAGGCGUUAACUACAGAAGAAGCACCGGCUAACUCCGUGCCAGCAGCCGCGGUAAUUC
rnacentral:rRNA from 1 species